UCGAGAAUUUUUCACAAUGGGGGAAACCCUGAUGGAGCGACGCCGCGUGGAGGAUGAAGGCCUUCGGGUUGUAAACUCCUGUCAUGCGGGAACAAGCAAGUGAUAGUACCGCAAGAGGAAGAGACGGCUAACUCUGUGCCAGCAGCCGCGGUAAUACAGAGGUCUCAAGCGUUGUUCGGAUUCAUUGGGCGUAAAGGGUGCGUAGGUGGUGACGUAAGUCUGGUGUGAAAUCUCGGAGCUCAACUCCGAAAUUGCACCGGAUACUGCGUGACUCGAGGACUGUAGAGGAGAUCGGAAUUCACGGUGUAGCAGUGAAAUGCGUAGAUAUCGUGAGGAAGACCAGUUGCGAAGGCGGAUCUCUGGGCAGUUCCUGACACUGAGGCACGAAGGCCAGGGGGAGCAAACGGGAUUAGAUACCCCGGUAGUCCUGGCAGUAAACGGUGCACGUUUGGUGUGGGCGGGUUCAGACCCCGUCCGUGCCGGAGCUAACG
rnacentral:rRNA from 1 species